CCUACGGGAGGCAGCAGUGAGGAAUAUUGGGCAAUGGGGGCAACCCUGACCCAGCCAUGCCGCGUGAGUUAAGAAGGUCUUCGGAUUGUAAAGCUCUUUCGGACUUGACGAUGAUGACGUUAGCGUCUACAGAAGCACCGGCGAACUUCGUGCCAGCAGCCGCGGUAAUACGAAGGGUGCGAGCGUUGUUCGGAAUUACUGGGCGUAAAGUGAGUGUAGGCGGAUAUGUAAGAUAGCGGUGAAAUGCCGGGGCUCAACCCCGGAACUGCCAUUAUGACUGUGUAUCGAGAGUAAUGGAGAGGAGAGCGGAAUACACAGUGUAGAGGUGAAAGUCUUAGAUAUUGGGUAGAACACCGGUGGCGAAGGCGGCUAUCUGGCCAUUUACUGACGCUGAGGCUCGAAAGCAGGGGGAUCAAACAGGAUUAGAUACCCUUGUAGUC
rnacentral:rRNA from 1 species